rnacentral:tRNA from 1 species
GCGGGAGUAGCUCAUUUGGUAGAGCGAUAGCCUUCCAAGCUAUAGGUGGUCCCGUACCGUAGGUCGUGAAGCCUUGUCUUCCGCU